GAUGAACGCUGGCGGCGUGCCUAAUACAUGCAAGUCGAGCGGACUGAUUGAAAAGCUUGCUUUUCAAUCAGUUAGCGGCGGACGGGUGAGUAACACGUAGGCAACCUGCCUGUAAGAUGGGGAUAACGACCGGAAACGGUCGCUAAUACCGAAUAAUACUUUUUCUUGCAUAAGAGAAAGUUGAAAGGUGGCGCAAGCUACCACUUACAGAUGGGCCUGCGGCGCAUUAGCUAGUUGGUGAGGUAACGGCUCACCAAGGCGACGAUGCGUAGCCGACGUGAGAGGGUGAUCGGCCACACUGGGACUGAGACACGGCCCAGACUCCUACGGGAGGCAGCAGUAGGGAAUCUUCCGCAAUGGACGAAAGUCUGACGGAGCAACGCCGCGUGAACGAGGAAGGUUUUCGGAUCGUAAAGUUCUGUUGUUAGGGAAGAACAAGUACCGUUUGAAUAAGGCGGUACCUUGACGGUACCUAACGAGAAAGCCACGGCUAACUACGUGCCAGCAGCCGCAGUAA
rnacentral:rRNA from 1 species